AUUCGUUUAUUUAUUAAUGCCGACCACUUGAAUGAAUUUCUAUA
rnacentral:sRNA from 1 species